GGGGAGGGGAAGCGAAGGGGCGGGAAUGGGCGGGAAUGGGCGGGCGACGCGCGCGCAGCCUCCCUCGCUCCUCCCCAGGGCUGUCAGCGCGGACCCCGCCCCCUCAGCCUUCCAAUGGGCGCUCGGCCCCGCCCCGCCGCCUCCCGCUUCCGCCGCCGCGGCGCAGCGUCCUCUUUGCCGUGCAGUUUCCUUUGCCGGCAUUUCCUCCCCGAUGUCUAGCUUCGGGGUUUCCUUGCGUUCUUUCCCUCAGGGUUCAGUCUUCCACCCUUGUCCUUUGUCCCACGGUCACAGGGAACAGGUGCUGUGUUUAGGACCCAGUGGAUGACGAAACUCACCAGAGACCUCAUAGCUAAAGAAUGGCCAGCCUGUGUUUUGAAUCUAGGCAAUCUGGACCCCAGAGCCGUCCAGCCUAAAGGGUACUCUUCAAAUGAAGAGUUAUUUUAAAACCAAAGUAACAGCCUGAUGGAUGGAUGCCUGUACAGACAGCUCAUCUUCACUUCUGAGCCUCAGCAGGACUUAGCUGGGCUUCUGGAGUACUGAGCUGAGCCUGCAGCUGUGCAGCCUGGAGCAGCUCUCCCAAUCCAAGAGUGGGAGGUCUGUGGGACCACAGAUUUCACCAGCUGACUGCAGAAAAGCCCUGAGUUCAUCUCAACACCUGUCUUCAUCUCAACACCUGUGUUCUGAGUUGUCCAAGCCCUGGGAACCUGGGUCCUAGUGCUUAAUGAUUAUCUGUCAGAAGGAUGGAUGAAUAGAUCGAUGGAGAAACUAAGGAGCAAAGCAAUCAGUGAUUUGUUCCAGCCCACUCCGGAAGAGGGCUGCUCAGUCAGGGUAGAAACCUAGUUUCCAGGGCUGUUUUCCAAUUCACAAAUCUGCUACGUCUAUGCAGGUGAGUUUUUGUUGGGGAUUUUGUUUUUAAGUAAAUUCUCUUAAGACUAUGCUAGGGCAAGUAGAAUGUGAUGACACCAGAAGUGAAAGGAUCCUGAAAUCCUGGCAUCAGGAUGUGCGGGGUUUUAGGAAUGGCAGUGUGGCUCAAAAAGACUUCUUAUGAGAAACAAAAAGACUCCCAAUUCUCUUCUUCAAGGCACCUUUGGUUACCAACCAUUUAGGAGACUGAGCCCUAAGCCUUUCCCCCCACCCCGCCGCCCCCACUGUGUACAAAAGACAAGAUGCUGUGAACAUGAGGAUAAUAUCCACUAGAAGCCUCUAUCAUUCAUUUUGGCUUUGUGACAACUUCCCUGGAAACUCAACAUCUUGAGGGGUGAAGUUGGUUUUUGUUUGUUUUUUUUUAAAGGUUGGCACCUGAGCUAACAACUGUUGCCAAUCUUUUUUGUUUCCUGCUUUUUUCUCCCCGAAUCCCCUCAGUA